rnacentral:rRNA from 1 species
UAGUCCACGCCGUAAACGAUGAUCACUGGUUGUAUGCGAUACACAGUGUGCGACUGAGCGAAAGCAUUAAGUGAUCCACCUGGGGAGUACGUUCGCAAGAAUGAAACUCAAAGGAAUUGACGGGGGCCCGCACAAGCGGAGGAACAUGUGGUUUAAUUCGAUGAUACGCGAGGAGCCUUACCUGGGCUUAAAUGUAGAGUGCAUUGAUUGGAAACAGUCAUUUUCUUCGGAACUCUUUACAAGGUGCUGCAUGGUUGUCGUCAGCUCGUGCCGUGAGGUGUCGGGUUAAGUCCCAUAACGAGCGCAACCCCUAUCGUUAGUUGCUAGCAGGUAAUGCUGAGGACUCUAGCGAAACUGCCGGUGUAAACCGCGAGGAAGGUGGGGAUGACGUCAAAUCAGCACGGCCCUUAUGUCCAGGGCUACACACGUGUUACAAUGGUCGGUACAGUGGGCAGCUACACAGCAAUGUGAUGCUAAUCUCCAAACG